rnacentral:lncRNA from 9 species
UCCAAAUUCACCCUUCACUCACCCCAUCUGCUCACGACUUAGGGGCUAACUGGUUAUGUAUCACAUCCACAGGCUCCCUUGCCCUCCGGCUUCCAGUAGGCUUUGGUCAAGGGGGACACAGGGAAGGAAUCUAAAGGAAGAAGACUAAGACUGGAGUAUUUAUUCCCUUGAUAGAAGAUCACAGUGUCUGUUGGGUGGCCUUCUCACACAGCUGUCUCUUCCUGGGGCGGGUGAGCACUCCCACAGAGACAAGGUGAAAGCACCUCACUGAUACUGGCACCCAGAAUGGAGCUAUUUGCUUGUGGAUUAUUUGAAAGACACAGGCUUAUGCAAAAGAAAAACGAAGUCAUCGUGAGCCUUGAGACUAUAGCAGAGGAGGAGAAGAUGCAACCUGAUGAAUUGUACAAGAGCAGAAUUCCUGGUGAUUGGCGAGACCAGUUCUUCAACUGUUUCUUCAUAGUUUCUGAAACACACAAGAUAAUUGUUGUUCUGUCUUAAUUCUGAUCAUUUUCACAUUGAAUCUUCCAUUACGUGGCUUGGUCUUGUGGUGAGCAGACUGCAAGGCAACCUGUUCAGAUACCUGCCUCUGCUGCUGAGUAUCACCUAGAGAGAAACCUUUGCCUCCAUGAGAAAAAAGCUCAAUGUGUAUCUCUUCCAUUUUUUGUCUACAGUGUCUACAGUUUUUUUUUUUGAGCAAUUUCCUGUCUUCUAUAAUAGAUUUUGGAGAUCCUGUCGUGGCUUAGCGGUUAAUGAACCCGACUGGUAUCCGUGAGGACGUGGGUUCAAUCCCUGGCCUUGCUCAGUAGGUUAAGGAUCUGGCGUUGCCUCAAACUGUGGCAUAGCCCCCAGCUGUAGCUCCAAUUCGACCCCUAGCCUGGGAACCUCCAUAUGCUGCGGGUACAACCCUAAAAAGAC